rnacentral:rRNA from 1 species
UGCGGCUAUCCUGUUGAACACACCCUCUCAUCUGAUCUUAGAAGUCAAGCAAGUUGGGUCCUGGCUGGCACUUUGAUGGGAGAAAUACCAGAAAACUAUGAAAAGCAGUAA